rnacentral:pre_miRNA from 1 species
GGGAAUGACGAAGCCCAAAAUAACUAUUGGUCACUGCACAGGAAUAGUAAAUUGAGUAUACUCUUGUGCGUGUUCCAAUAGUUCUUAUGGGUGCUUCAUA